rnacentral:lncRNA from 1 species
CACCUUUGAAUUUGUUACAUCAGGUAAUCAUUACAUUUUAAUUAUUUAAGCUUGAAUGGACUCAACAUUUAGUAAACAACUCUAAUCAUGACGAUAGAAUCAAUAAAUGUUAUUUAUAGACCAUGUAUUUGGUCAUGACCUUGGUUUUGGUCAACAGCUGUUUUUCAUAGACCAUGUAUUUGGUCAAUAGUAAUUGAUUAAAGAUUAUUUAUAUUAUUAUAGACCAUGUAUUUGGUCGUGACCAUGGGUUUGGUCAAUACCUGUCUUUCAUAGACCAUGUAUUUGGUCAAUAGAAAAUUGAUUUUUAGAUCAUGUAUAUUAUUAUAGACCAUGUAUUUGGUCGUGGCCAUGGUUUUGGCUAAUAACUAUUAUUUUUAGACCAUGUAUUUGGUCAAAUGAAAAUAGAGUUUAGAUUAUGUAUAUUAUUAUAGACCAUGUAUUUGGUCGUGGCCAUGGUUUUGGCUAAUAACUGUUAUUUUUAGACCAUGUAUUUGGUCAAAUGAAAAUUGAGUUUAUAUCAUAUAUAUUAUUAUAGACCAUGUAUUUGGUCGUGACCAUGGUUUUGGUCAAUACCUGUUUUUCACAGACCAUGUAUUUGGUCAAUAGAAAAUUGAUUUUAGAUCAUGUAUAUUAUUAUAGACCAUGUAUUUGGUCGUGGCCAUGGUUUUGGCUUAUAACUAUUAUUUUUAGACCAUGUAUUUGGUCAUGGCCAUGGUUUUGGUCAAUAGCUGUAUUUAUAGACCAUGUAUUUGGUCAAGUUGUUGUAUAUAUAUCAUGGAUAUGGUCAAAUGAUUUUAAUUAUAGGCCAUGGAUUUGAUCUAGCAAUAGACCAUAUUAAUUUGGUCAACGGAAAUUGAUGAUUGAUUGUUUCAAUAAAUCUUUAUAUAGACAUAUACUUUAUUUACAAUAAACUUGUAUAUAAAUGUGUAGCUUAUUUAUUUUGAUAGUAUCAUGUAUAUUAACAGGAUGCCUCCUAAAAGAAAGCCUAGUGAGAGGCAAGCCAAACGGCAAAAAAAAAGGACCAGACACAAGAGGAUGCAAUGACAGCUGCAAUCUCAGCAGCUGUGACUGCCAAAGUUCUCUUGAAAAUCUGAAGGAAAAUGGCAUAUUGCCUCAACCCAGUCAGAAAAGACCCCACCCUGUUGAGAUGGAUGUCAUCGAACAGGAAGAAACAACAGGUGAACCCACACACCACACACAAAAAUGCUAGCUUUUCAAGCGAAAACGUGUCUAAUU